ensembl:lncRNA
GGUAGGAGAGUGCUUGAUAAUGGUGGCAGGAGUGGGGGAGGUGAUGCGAAGGAAAAGUAGUGGCUUGGGAGGUGGGGAGAGGUGGAGGAGAGUGAUAGGAAAGGAUGAGAUUUACAAGGAAGGGGAGGGUGUGGCAGAAGGAGCGAUAUGAGGGAAGAGGAGGCUAUGGCGGAAGUGGGGAUUAUUAUGGAGUUUCAUGUGCAGGAGAUGGAGGUGAUGGUGGAUAUAUAAGAUAAAUUCUAAAAAUAACCUCAUAAAUUACAUGAAUAUUCUUCAUAGACAAUUCAGCCCUAGCAUUCUCAAUAACAUGCGUGAAUAUCAUCUUUGAAGUAAGCUCCUGAUGUUCUUGCAUCUGGGUAAUAGGGGAGAGUAUUGCUUUAUACUAACAGUUGCUUUCCUAGGAGAAGUAAAAAUUUUUUUUCCGUAUUUCACAUAACCUGAGUAUGGCAGGUCUUUUUGAACCAAAAAAUAAUAUUUUAAACAAAACAAUAUUAAUAUUUUAAAUGAAGUAUUUACCACCAACAAAAAUGAAAAAUUGAAAUUAUGUUGUUGUCAUAAUUGAAUUUAGACUGUUACCUAUAUUCAAGUUUGAGACAUGUAAGUUACUGUACUUAUAAUGCAAAGGAACAUGAACUGCUAACCUCAUUAAAAAAAAAAUCAGCCUGAAUCAGUGUGAUGUUUUUGAAAGUGGUUAAAUAAAUUAAAAAUCCUAAUCCUGUCAGCCCAUAAGCAGGUUGAUUAAGGUCUCCUCAGGAACUGAGUUUGGAUUCCAGAGGGCAAAUGGCUCUCCUGUAGCUAACAGCUUCUAGAUAAACCCUUCCUGAGCAACAAGAGAAGGGAAGCAUUUCUUUGAUGCUGCAGCUGUAGCCACAGCAAAAUUAUGAAGUCAAGCGUCUUGCACUAUCUGGUCUUUCUUCCUUUGUCAACCACACAGGGACCUCCAGCUCCCAGAACGCUGCCUAGCCUGUAGUCACACUCAAUUAAUUCAAGGAAUUAAUUAAUGAGUGAAUGCAAGGAAUGAAUGAAUGAAUGAAAUGAAUAGAAAAGUUAUCAAGCAUUACCAAGCUCUCGGAGCCCACAGGUCAACAGUGGAGACAGAAUGGCAUACAAUAGAAUAAUAGAAAUAAUACAAUAGAAAACAUAGACUAGAAUAGAAAUAAUAGAAUAAAAAUAAUAGAAUAAUAGAAUAGAAAAUUAUUCUAUUUUCUGUUAAAAUUGAAAAUAAAGUACUGAAGGAAACGUGCUUUGGUAAUAGUAAGUGCAGCAUACUGGAGGCACAUGAGGGAUCUUCCCUGCUUUUCCCCUUCUUUCUAGAAUCUUCUUCUUUUCUCCAUGCCAGUUGCACCCCCAUUUCAUUCAUUCAACAAGUACUUAUUGGGCACCUACAGUACACACACCAGUAGGGAGUGGGAUAUGCCAGGCUCUGCCAUCAUAGAGUCUACAUUCCCAUAGGGAGGGACUGGAGACACACAGUGUUUGGGGCUUAAGACAAUUUCCAGGAUAAUAAAUGCUAUUAGGGCCGUAACGUUGGAUGGUAUGACAGGUAUGAGGAUUGAACUAAUUCAGAUACAGCAGUCAAAGAAGACUUCUCUAAUGAAGUGACAUUGGCCUUCUGGCCACCACCAAAAUGGAAAUUGGCCUUGCCCAGGCAGUACCAACAAAGAGAAUGAAUUUCAAAGUGGAAAAUCCCAGAGAAAGUAGUAAAGAAGAUAUUCAACUAUGGAAGUGAUAGAAGAACUCCUAGCAGCUAAAUAUUUUAAAUCCCUGCUCAGAAGAGCCAUCAUGAGGAAAUUUGUAGACAUAAUCCUGGAAACUGAGCGAUCUUUGAGGAAUUAUGGAGGAUAAGAGGAGAGCCACAAAAAAAAAAAAAAGAAAAGAAAAGAUUAUUUAGCACAAGGGAAGGAGAUGAAGAUUUUGGCCCAGAAUGCUCAGUGUAGUGUGAAUUCUCAGUAAAAUGCAAGACUAACUUUCACAGAACUGAUGUAUGUGCCCGCAAGGUUUCAGUCUGUCCACUUAGCAUGCCCAUGGCUUGCCAUUGAGCCUGCACUUCCCAAAUGUCUCCUGCACAGGCUACUCGCCAGGAUGUUCAGAGCAUAUGAUGCCUAUGUCCAAACCUGAGUUCAUCGUACCCCAAACCAUGUGUCCCUCUUUCCCUCAUUUUAACUUACUUUCAUUCAUUCAUUCAUUUCACAAACACUUAGUGAGCACUAAAUAGCAGUCAAGAUACUACAUGCUAUAGGUACAAAGAAUGCAGAGCACAGUAUUUCCUGUAACAACUUUAGAGUUAGGCAUUGGGAGCUCCAGCCCAGGGGCUUCCAUUGAACUGGCUAUGUGCAUCUGGACAAACUGCUCAUGCUUUCCAUACCUCAGUUUCCUCAUCUGUAAAAUAGGCUUGGCACUAAAAUACGUGUGGAAGGAAAGAAGGGCACAGGGAAGGAGGGAAGGGGGAGGAAGAGGAGAGAGGGGGAAUCGAGAGGGAGAAAGGGAGGAAGAAUUGGCACUUACCUCAUUUGUGAGGAUUAAGUGAAAUACGAGCACUCAACACAGUGCCUGGCACAUGGUAACAUCUAUAAAUACUGUCCCUCAUUUCAGGGAACUCAGCAUCUAGUGAGAAAAUAGGAGCACAGUUCAGACAAUAUCAAUAGUUAACACUUAACUGAAUGCUUAUAAGUUGCCAGGCGCUAUUCUAAACUUUACACGUGUGGACUCACUUCAUCCUUAGCACUUCAUGAGUUAGGUUCUGUUAUGUUUUUCCCGACUGCACAGAUGAGAACUACAGAUGUGGAAGGGUAAAGUAACAGGCCCAAUGUCACACAAGGAUUCAAACUCCGGCACUUUGGCUCCAAUCGCUACAAUCUACUGCCUGGUACAAGUCUGAGCAAAUGCAGUAACAGCGAUGUGCACGUGCUAUUACGGGGGACUUGCAGCUCAGUAAGGCAGCAGUAUGGCUGAGGAGCCGUCCUGGAGAAGGAGGACGUGCAUUUGGGAAUUGCAGGAUGACCAGGAGGAGUCAGUCAAGGGAAGAGGAGGUAAAGAGCAUCACAGAGAAGACAACAUGAGUAGGGCUCCAUAUUCCUGGAGCUGGGAUGGGUGACGCACGUCAUGCAGCAUUGCACACCAUGCUAGGGGUUUGGACUUUAUCCUCUAAGCAAUGGGGAGUCGUGGGAAGCAGCAUGAUCAGAAUUGCACUUUAGAAAGAUUACUCUGGGGGCUGAAUGGAUGUGAGGAAGAUGAUCAUGGAGGAGGGACGUCAGUCAGAAGGCUGCUGCCAGGGUCCCCCAGGAUAGUGGCCAAAGAUAGGGCAGAUUUAUGGCAUAUUUAGAAGAUAUAAUUGGGAAAAAAUGGUGCUUGUUGACUGAAAAAGCUGAAAGAGAAAGAGAGGACAAGGAAGACUCUCAGACUCUGUCUUGGAGGCUUGGAGGACAGUGGUACCAUCUCCUGGGUAGGAAAUGUAGAAAGAAACGUUGGCUUAAAGCUCUCAGGAGCAAGAAGCUUCCUGUGUCCCAAAGUCAGGGAGUUCCCCAUCCCCUUUUUUUAAAAUUUUCCUUUAUAAUAAAAAAACGUUAAACACAUAGAAAAGGAGAAGGAAUAGUGCAAUAAAUACCGUCAACCAGAUUCAACAAUUGUUAGGAGUUUGCCGCAUCUGGCUCAUAUAUAUAUAUAUAUAAUAUAUGAUAUUUGUAUGUUUUUGUACAGUUAUAUAAUAUUUUAUUUUAAUUUUUACCCCUGAAGGUCAUUUUAAAUAAACUACAGGCAUCAUUACAUUAUCCUUAAACACUUUAGCCCAUAUCACCAAAAAAUAUUUAGCACAACAAUCGCAAUACCAUUGUCACACUUCAAAAAAUUAAUAAUUAGCUAACAUCAUCUAUUAAUGAAUCUAUAUUAGAAUUUCCCUAACAACUUCCAGAAUUAUUUACAGGUUUUUUCAAAACAGGAUUCAAGUAAUGACCCCAUAUUUCUUUUAUUAUGUUUUCUAAGUUUCUCCAAAUCUACAACACUCCUCCCCACAUCCUUUACGACAUUGACUUGUUAAAGAAACCAAGCCAGGUGUCAGUAGAAUGCCUCAUAGUCUGGAUUUGCCUGCAGGCUUUGUCACCAUGUCGUUUAACUUCUUCCUCUACUCCCUGCAUUUCCAGUAGACUGGAAGAAAGUUCUAAAGGCUCGACCAGAUUUGAGUUUAACAUUUUAACACACGUGUUGUUGGUGAUGCCAUGUCACCUGUAUCACAUCCUAUCAGUGUCAAGAUUUUGGUUUCAAAAUAACCAUCCUACUGUCACGCUACUAAACAAAAUUUGACUGAUUCCGGGGCUGGGAUGGGGAAUAAAGGUAAGCCUAGUUCUAGAAAGCACAGAAGCACCCAGAUACUAAUGGGUCAUGUCAAAAGAACACAAUACCCAACUUAAGGGGCCCCCACUGGUCAAAUUGGGACACUUUGAGCAUCCAAAAGAAUGACUGGAAUUGCUCAAAACACAAUGAAUGUGUAAAUCUAUAUUACUCAAUAAUAAUACUCAAAAAAUAAAAAAUCCUAGAUGGGGGCCGGUCCCGUGGCCGAGUGGUUAAGUUCAUGCGCUUUGCUUCAGCGGCGCAGGGUUUUGCUGGUUCGGAUCCUGGGCACAGACAUGGCACCACUCAUCAAGCCACACUGAGGCGGCAUCCCACAUGCCACAGCUAGAAGGACCCACAACUUAAAUAUACAACUAUGUACCGGGGGGCUUUGGGGAGAAAAAGGAAAAAUUAAAGUCUUUAAAAAAAAAAAUCCUAGAUGACUUGAAGAUGCGGAAGUGGCUCAGACACAGCUGAGGCGGUGUCUCUGACUAAUGUCUCAAUUUGAGCCACAAUUCUGAGUGUUGAACCAGAAUACUCUGGCCUUGACUUAAAUUUGGACCAUGACCCCAGCUAUCCCUCAUGUGUGCCCACAACGACUGUUAAAUAUGAUGGGAACUGAAACUAGAUUUUUCCCCCCAAAAUCGUUUGUUACACCAAAAAAGAUAACAUACAGAAACAUCACAUUCUCAUUUUAAGGUAAAACUGACAGCAUCUAUCUUCCCAAAUUUCCUUAGCACUGCACAAUUCUUGUCACUAUUAAAAAAAAAAGCAAAGAAAAAAAUCUAAAUUUCAGAGUCCAAUUAACAAAUAUACCUUGCCAGAAAGCGUUCUUCUUGCGAUUCUGGCCCCACCCUAGUUAUUUUUCAAGAGUUUGAAUCUGUACCGUUUCAUGAAUAGGUAGCAAUUUUUUCUUUAAUAUUUAUGAGAACUAGACUCAAUUUUCUUCAUAUUGACAACCACCACCAAAAAACACAAAACAAAAUUCUACUCCAAAACUUAAAAAAUGUAGACAUUUGUUGAUUAAAGUUCACCUCCUUUAGGUAACUUUGUUUUCUCUUCACACAUUAACACAGUAAGCUAGCAGCUAGUGCAGGCUGCGGAAGUCAGACUAAAUGAAACAGAAAUAUUAAACCAUCACAAGGCUAAAGGAAGUAAUUUUUGUAAAAAUAUAUGCAAGAAGAUAGAGUUCAGAAAUGAACAUUGAAUAUUCAUUUUUUUGCAGAAAAUAAGUAUCACGUCAAAUAAAGACUCCUGAAACAAGGUGUUUGGAUCUUAUUGGGAUCUUAAUUCUCCCCUAUCUUUACCAACAAUUUGAGAGCCUUGUUUCGAGGCCCUUCUUUCCUUCUCUUCAUUGUACAGACCUUUGUCUGGAGGCCUGCCCAGCAAUUCCUAUUGAUUCUAUAGGAAUAAUAUCAGAUAGUUUAAUAUAAAACGCAACUUUUGUCAUGUUUUCGAAAGCCAGCAUCACAGCUUCUCCCCUAACUCUGGACAGACUCUUCAUUUUUUUGUCUUGCCCUAGAAUAAAUUCUUUAGCUCAGAAACAACUGUGAAAGUUAAUCCCGUUAAAUGAUGAUCUUGAGUCAGGAGUUUUUCAAAUGCACUUCAGAAAAAUACAGUUUACAUUCACCUCCAAAUCUGGGAUUAAGAAACCAUUAGCUGCUUUACACCUGGUUUCAAUACUGGUUUGAAGUUUGAAUAGUUUUGCUGUGUAAACAUUAAAUAUUAUAUUUAAAUAUUAAAUAUGAAAGGUUUUCCUGACUAGGAAGACAGAAAUAGAGAGAGCAAGGACAUCGGGACAGGCUCGAAAACAGUGGAAUUAAUAGACUUGUGCCUCAUCUACACUGUCUGCAACAAGGGAACAGAUUUCAGCAUGGGUUUCAAAAAGGCCUGGGGGAUGAUUACUAAAAAUUUAUCUUUACUUGGCAUAAAUCAUUUUUUUCUGCACAAAUAUUUGAUUCUCACUAAGGAGAAAAAAUAGAACGAAAACAUUGGGAUGGUCUUCUGUUGUAUGAUACGAGGGCCAGCUGUGUACACUUUUCAAAGUAAUAGUAGAUAUUCUGUAGCAGUAAAGGAAUUGUCAUUUCGCUUUCACUACAAUUUCUUUCCACACAGAAGAGCACUUCCUGAGAAAUUAAAAACUUCCAUUCUGUAUAGCCCUCAAGGACAGCUUUGAGUCUGGUGUAGGUACCCAUGAUGACUCCCCGCUAAGCGGGAAGCUACUCUCCGCUGAUGUCUAAGCUUACCGCACAAUAUUUAAGCAUCAGGAAAGUUAACUAGUUCAGUAAAUCUCAAUGCCACUUGCCAGGACAUUCUCAGUCAAGAAUCCAUUCACCAUUUUCUAAACUAACCCUCAACAAAAACUCAACUUGCUAAUAGAGGUGUUACUUUUCAUUACCUACCAAAGGUGUUCAUGCUGCAUUUGGGUGACCCAGGAUUCACUGGGCUGCUGUCCCACAGCCAAUCUGCACCUGAUUCAUCUCCCAAUCUUUGUACCGAUCACGCACCAUUAACUUGUAAACACACUGAGGAGCUGGGCUUGUCAAUUAUGCAAGGGAAACUGACGGACAACACUAGAUGAAGUAAAACACUGUGAAAAAAAUAUUUUCUUUGUAUUUUCACCGCAUCUUCAGAGAUAAAGAGGUGAAUCAUAUUCUACUGGCUAUUUAAUCAACAGAGCUAUAUUAAUAGACAACUAAUAUACAACUAUAUUAUAGAUUACGGUCUUGAUUUCUUCCCACCUUCUCAUCAGUUACAUUAAUGGUCGCCACUGUAAACAGCGCCCCUGACUCUGAACUAAGCUGAGAUUCAGUUGUCAGGCUACUGUUAGAGCAGGAGCAGGCUUCCUCCUCAGGACAUCUCUUUAAAGAGAACAUUCUCCACGAGUCUUGAUGGUUUAGACAGUGUGGCCAGCAAUGUCACUCAUCCUUACACACAGUUUCUACACUUGCCAUUGCAGAGGCCAUAAUCUAACAUGUCUUUAAUAAGCCCCCUAGAAAAUGGCUUUCCUUUUGAGACAAGCUUUGUUGACAAGAAGUUGAAUCCAAUAAAUUGAUGGCCCCAAAUGAGAUGCCCACCCCAAAUCACAGGCAGAGCUAUUAUCCCACCCUUUUCACAAAGCUCUCCAGUCCCUCUGUCAUGCUAGUAGGCUCAUGGCCACAGAAGCCAUCUAAAAUCUGACACCACUAGUUUGGAAACUAGUUUCUUGAGUUCCAUCGCUUCUAUGCUAGCAGUUCUCUGCAAACCAUCGUGAAGGCAUCCAUCUUUGCUGAGGUUCCAGCAGCCGCGUGUUCACUGGGCUGUCGCCUAUGGAGUUCUUAGCACUAGGUGACAGCUUUGGCUUAUCAAAAAUAAGUUCAGGGAAAAGUUCCCAGAAUAUAACUCCAUGGAAGAACAGUUGACAGAAUCAAUCAUUUCCUUUGCAAAGACUUCACCAAAUUCCUUAUUCAAAGCUGCUUUAGGACAAGUCUGGGGUAUUAAUACUCCUGUCAGCUUCAACUUUUUCAUCUUCAUCAAUUACUCUGACUUCAACCUCCUGCAAUCUCCUCUGGCAGCCUCGCAAGCGACUCUCCAACCUCCUGAUCCAUUGCCUCACAAAGAAGAUCUCUCGUGCCAAAUGCAGAAAGGCCACCAGUGCACAGAGCCCUUACACUCUGAUGUCCAUCAGGAAUGCUGCUGCUGUAACCCAGCACAGAGCACUGCUCGAAUCAGGCUUUGCUUUCUUACUGGACAAUCUCCAUCACCAUCCUGCUUUUGCUUGUGUUUCUUUCCUCGGUGAACUGAAACUCCUCUAACCUCUAGAAUCUUGCCCGGGCAGCUCAAGGCAGCCUGACCCACAGCCAUGAGGACAUCUCAGCCCAUCUGCCUCAGGAGGACACUCCGGCAAAUGUAUAGUCUGCACCCAUCCCUGGCCCACGCAUCCCCUAGUCUGUGAGCAGCAAGCAACAGUGACUGUCCAGUCUUGACCCCAAAAUGCAUGUUUUUAUUUGAUUAUAAUCCCCACCACUCAUGUUCUCCUACAGAUGGGGCUGUCUCCCAACUGCAUAAUACUGCAAAAGAAAUUUUUUCAACAUUCAUAAUAGAAUAUAAACCCUAUUCCCGUGCCUUCUGGCUUCCAGAACACACAAAUGCAUAUUUAAUCGUAUGGAGUAGCCAACACACCAGAUCCUUGUAUAGGAGGAUUAUUAUUAUUUGUUAUCCACUGCCAUCAAAUGCUCCACUCAGUGAGUUGACAUUCAAUAUAGAGAAGAUGGUGUAAGAUCGUUAUUCUUAAUUCAGCUGUGUAUAAGAACCACUUGAGAGAGUCCUAGUUAAAUAUAGGUUCCCUGCAUGCCACCCUAGAAGUUUCUGAUUUGGUAGGCAGAGAAUUGGGGAUCAGUUUAGCUGGCUUUUGGAACCACUGCCUAAGGAGCAUAUCUCUAUCCGCAUCUUUAGCUAUGCUCUCCUAUGGCAGGAUAGUUAUUGAAGUGAUUAUGCUUGUUUCCCUUUAUUUUUUCUCCCACGCUGACCUCUCCAACUCCAAAAAAUGUAAGAGAUUUUACUGGCUUCCUUCACUGUAAGUUUCUACUGGGGUUGAAAGCAGAAGUGGCCUGAAGUCAAACUCUCUUCCUAUCUUUUGUGAAAGCCUCAACCCACUGGGAGUGGCUACUCGAGAGUGAAGAUGAUGGAGCAGGGUGUGUAGUGGGAUUUCUCUUAGACUAAGCAAGGGGCAGAAGUCACAGGUCCUAACAUGGUAGAGAACUCUGUUGAACUGUAUGGCACAUCUCUGGAAGAGUGACAGGGCCUCAAUGAAGAGAGGCUGCAGAUAUACACGUAGGCAGGCCCCAUCCUAGACCCUGGGAUUCCAGCCUUGACAAAGGCCUGUGCCUUCAGAGAGCAGCGUGGAAGUGUAUUAGGGUCUGCUCAGAGAUGCAGAACCAGCAGGAGAUAGACACAUAUGGAUUUAUUAAAGGGAACUGGCUUAAGCAUUCAUAAGGGUUCACUAAGCAGUCUCUGCAAAGCUGUCUCCAAAUCUAAUGCUGGAGCCCAGAGCCCAGAGGCUGGUAGUCAGGAUGGAAGGUCAUGAGCAGGCUGGAAUCCCACAAGCAUGAGCUGGAACCCCAUGAGGCCGGACUGACUCAUGUCAGUUCUUGUUGCCUCUGAUCUUGAUAACUAGAGUAUCCUGCAGAGGCCAAGACCCUUCAUCAAGGACCUAAACACAUCUGACCCAGGGGUCAGAGAAACGGAAAGAAGAUCUAGAGGGAAGGGACAGCAAUUGCAGGCCAAGUUCCUGCUUCACACCAGUGAGAUGAAUCAAUAGACCAGAAACAAUGCCUGUGUGCUACAAAAUGGCUGCUGCCUUCCUUCCAUCCUCGAACUGUCAAGAGAGGCUCUCCCUCUUAGCUCACACUAACAGGAAACAUACAAGAAAAGGGAAUUCUGGGAAAUGUAGUUCAGCCUGGUCAAGUGAGCACAUGGCAAUGCCAUCACAGGAAACAACAGAGGCUCUGGAUAUCUCAAGGAACCAGUGUGGUUUAAGAUGGAGGCCCACCCUGAGCAUUCUGUUCUAUGUAAGGGAGUGGGAGAACACUUCCCCCAUCCUGCAGGGAAUCCCAAUAAUUAUGAACUUUAAAUUUUCUGUCAGCCCUAUAGGAGAGGGCUAAAUAAGAAUCACUUUGAUUUAAAGGAGAUAAAGUAAUAUGAUAAAUGUUCUGAAACGUGAUCCAGCCAGGCCUCCAGAAAUUUACACAUUUAUACCAUCUUAGAUUAGCUCUCCUCCGAAACUGUCUUCUUUAAGGAUUCAUUUAAUGUUAUGACUUGUUAUUAUCAGUCAUUAGAAGAAACAACAAUAUGAACACCACUAAUAUAUUUGUUAUUAAAAGUAUACAUCACUAAUAUCAAGGGCAUUAUUUAGUUUGUUGUCCCCUGUAUAAGACCUAUGUAGAAAACCAAAGUCAAAAUAGCUCAAGGAUGUCACAGACUGAAGUAGGCAAGUAGUUCAUGGGCCAUUUUGUUUCAGAUACUUAUUUCUGAGGAUUUCUGAGCAGUCUCCUGAUAUUUGAGUUAGAAUAGUGUGUUCUAACAUCAUUAGGACAUCUUGGAGACCACGAUCUCCAUAAUGCCCUAAAGGUGGUUAAGUUUCUUCCCUGGUCAGGACCACCCAACUGCCUUUCUAUCAGUGGCUGGAACCCUUGGCCCAUCCUGUCCAGAGAGUCUGUAACAGUGCCCUUAACCAUCCAGGCAGCUUCCACACAAACCACUCAAACAACGUACUGAAACUCAAUCUGUAGAACGGAAUUUUUUAAAGGAGAACACCACUGGCCUAGAUUCCAGGUCCUUUUGGAAAAUGCUUUACUCUAUGUCAAAUUCUACAAAAUUCCAUUUCUCAAAUCCCAAAAGAACUAGUGAGUUUAUUUUUUCCCUCUGAUAGUAACUGCUGUAUUUCACUGCUGUCAGUACACCUUUCUCAUAAUCUGACAAUGCAGUUUACCCAUAAUUGUCCGGAGUUAAGGCAGAGACCCAGCCCGUAAACCUAGGGUUUAUUGUGUAGAGUCAACCUAAGUGUGCUUUGCAAACAGUGUCUUAUGUCUCAGGGCCUUUCGUCCCCUCAGGUUUGAGAGCUAAAGAGCUAGCCACAGACCAGUGAGGAAGCUCAAGGAUUUGGGACCUGACUAACCAGAGGUUGGAUCUGAACUCUGCCACUGAUCAACAGUGUAACCUUGAGCAAGCAAUUGAGUUUACUGGAGAACAGUUUCUUCAUCUGUAGAAGGGAAAUAUUGUUAUCUAUCUCAUAGCGGGUGUAUCCCAAUUAAAUAAAGUGCCUAGCGGGCACUCAUUUCCUUCUGGCUGUGUUUAAGAUGAUUGGUGUUGACACAAGCACCACCAGUGCAGGUACACAAGGUUACAGAUACCAUUUUUUUAAAAGCAUCAUAUAUACAUACUGUUUUACAUAAAACAGUAUUAUAUACAUAAUGUUUUAUCAUAUAGUACAUAUAUAUCCUCUUAUGGUGGGGAUGUCUAAAGUCAUAAUCAAAUAUAAUUCUUCAAGGAAAGCAAUGAAUAAUCUCUCAAGAAAUUCUAUCAAGAAUGUGAAAAAGAGAAAGAAAAGAGAUAAGAAAGAAAAUCUCAUUGUUAGGCAAAAAAAAAAUUAUUUAGGGCCUGAAAGUGGGGUACCCACUUGAGUGAUUAAUAUUUUGCAUGGCCUUUUCAACACUAGUAUCACUUCUUCAAACAAUUAUUGAUGAGUACUAACAAAAGUUUAUUUUUGUAUUUGGUCAUUAGUUGGUUGUAAUUUGGGAGUGGGGCUGGCAAGGAGGGGCUUGACAGAAAAUAGAGACUGUACUAAAUUUCCUUCCUGAAGAUUCUUCCAACUUUGAUGACUGGCACUCAAAGAUAGAAAUAGCCACUAUCCUGCAGAGAAUUACUGCCCUGAAAAUCAGAAAUAUGCACCGCUUUGGCUGUGAUGAUGACUAGGGCACAGAAGCCACUGGCAGAACCAAGAGUGCUGCAGCCUGGAGCCAGCCUGGGUCCCUAAAGUGUGCUCAUCACUGGAUUCUGAGGAGCCAGGCUUUCCAAAGUACCCUGGGAGCUCAGUCCUACAGGUCCCAGUGCAAAGCCAUAGAACCUUUCCUAUGGGGAGAAAAAGGAUUCCCAAAGCACCUGGCCCCAGCUUCCUUUGAUUUGCAGCUGAUAAAAGAGGACGUACUUCGGUUUUGCAAAGGCCUAAUCAAAUCCACAGAGAAUGAUUGUACUCUGGUAGAACAAUCUUUCCACAGCGCGCAUUCCAGAGACAAAAACGCCGGACAUCAUAAUAUGCAGCCCAGAGCUUUCGUCUGCUGAAAAGACACCUUUAGAAAGACUCCCUCCACUCUCACCGGAAGAUUCACGUGUUACAUCUAAAGAAAGCGCCAAACCCUGACUAGACCUGCACACCAACUGGCGACCUGAAAGUAGGAUUUCCAGGAAGUGAAGCAGGCGAUAGCGGAGCAGACAGCUUUCCCAAGAUUCUGGACCAGCCCUAAAAAUCACGAGCAAAAGGAGAAAAUGUGAAACAAGUUACAACAGUGCCUCUAUUUUGUACGCUGAACUCCAUCUUGUUAAAAAAAUAAGAAACUGUGCUGACCUUGCUGACUUGCUAAAAGGGACUUAUUUGCUGAGAAAGGACUUUCUGAAGGACUGUGCAAAAAAUAUGCUUUUUCUGGUAGCAACAAGAUGUCUCUGAGUAAGCCAACGAACUGUAACACAAAUUUAUCCUCUAAGUCUAAUAAACAACUGAGACACAGAAUUUGCUAGUGCUUUUGAGUCAAUUCUGACUUCCAGUCCCUGUGGACAGCAGAGCGGAACCCUGCCUGGUCUUUUCUGCACCAUCCUCUCACCCUCCGGCGCUACAUCAGACAGUGCUCUCCUACUAUUCACAGGGUUUCAUGGCCAAUUUCUUCAGAAGGGGUCAGGUCCUUCUUCCUAGUCUGUAUGGUCUGGAAGCUCCACUGAAACCUGUCCACACUGAG